CACCGCCAGAUAUAACACGAGAGCUUUCAAUUCCAAGAAAAGCAAUGCGAAAUCAAGCACCAUGUUUUGUAGAGAUGAGGCUGUAACAAAGAAGAGAGAUUCUUGAACGAUCUUGCAAUCUUGAACAAAGAGGAACAUGGUAGAGAUGAGGCUGUAACAAAGAAGAGAGAUUCUUGAACGAUCUUGCAAUCUUGAGCAAAGAGAGAAGAAAAGCAGGGGCAACUGAAAGAGUUUUCUGAACCCCACUGCUUAAAACCCUUAAAAACAGAGAGAAAAAAUCAAGAGAGGGGUUAGGGUUUAGUGCCAUUGUUUGAGGAUUUUCAUUUGGGUUUUUUUCUCCGGUUGAUGGAAGCGAAGAUGGAUUUGUUCACCAUUCAGUGCACCGAGGAGAAGCAGCAAUGUAGGUGGGUGCAACACAAAAAUCCAAGAAAGAAUACCUGGGUUUGAAAAGCCGGAGAGUAGAGAAGAAAGGGCAAGAAAAAAGGAAAAGAAAUUAAGUUGCCGACUUCUCUCUUCUCUUUGUUUGUAUCAAUCAAUACAUCCGCCAUCUAGAGGCUCAACUUCAGGAAGAGAUGUCAUGGCAUGCUCCUCUAUAUGGUGCUGGGCUGGAAGCUUUGUCAAUGAAGGAGCUCGAGACAAUAUCACGUAUCCAUGAAGAAGAACUGAGGCAGAUACAUGCCAUACAACAGCGUAAAGGAAGUCCACCUGGGAGUCCACUUGUAAGUUCCCACAACCUACCUCACACACAUGGGUUGUAAACACCUACGCCUCCAAUGGCUGUUGGAUUGCCUCCUCCGCUUAUCCCAAAUGGUGUUGGGAUCCAUAGCAAUGGGCAUGUUAAUGGUGGUGCCGGCCCCUAGUUCAGUCGUUAGAACGACGUCCCUGAUGUGAGGACUUCAUUGAUCAAGAAACUGACUCAGGAACUGCCUGUUCUCAGUCAGAUGGAAUUGGGAAGAGGAGCUCAUUCACCUGGAAAGUGGAGAAUUUCUUGUCCUUCAAGGAAAUAAUGGAAACUAGAAAAUUUUUUAGCAAAUUCUUUCAAGCUGGUGGAUGUGAGCUUCGGAUUGGUGGGUAGCUCUUUAAAAGCUUGAAUUAUUUCAAUGCAAAUUGUUGCAGUAGCUAGUGGAAUUAUGGUGGAUGAUCUAUUCUAAUUCUUUGCUGCCGCCUUUGAUUGUGCUCCUAUAUGAGUCUUUUGACACCAUAUGUAUAUAUUUGGAGAGUGAUCAGUCAGUUGGCAGUAAUCCCGAGAACAACUUUUUCCAGUUUUUACUUUUGUUAUUUAUUUGACAAUCAUACAAACUAACUUUUUUGCACUGGUUUACAGGAACAUAUAGUAAAAACUGGCUGCGGUUCUGUCUCUGUUGCUGUUUUCGGUGAUCAGGACAAACCAGCUCUGAUUACUUAUCCUGAUUUGGCUUUAAACUGUAAGGGAACUAGACCUGAAUUUUCACCAAGUAUAUCGUCAAUUUUAAUCAAACUUCUUCUGUUUUAUACCUGUGAGGAUUUCAUGGACACUUGUUAGUCUGCUAUCAGCCUUUUUGCACGUUAUCCCAACUUCACCAAAAUUUUAUUAUAUCAUCUUUUCACUAACCCAUUUAAAAGCUCCCUUGUUGUUUUAAAUUUUGUAUUGAACAUAUCUUCAUCAGAAAUAAUUAUCUAGUCUACCUUAAAUGGUGCAAGAUGCUCGAGGCUCAUACUAGUCUUGGAAUUAUUCUGUUAAAAUGUAUUUGUCUCCCUUGAAGCAGUAUCUACUUGCUUAAUCAAUUUUUUUAGCAAUGGCAAUGCAGAUAAGGUAGGCUGGUGGAGCUCAUGGCUCUUGCCUCGCAUGUGCACCCCUUGAUAGCGGCAACCACAACUCUACAUGGCUUUCAUUUCUUUAUUAUUGUUUGAGAGGUGCAUGAAAUUUGCUGCAUUUUUAUCUUGCUUUGUGAUUAAUAGGUAAGUUUCGCAAUUCUCAUAUGUAGAAAAGAUUUGCUAUGCUUGAAUUUAUCUUUUCUUUAGUUUUUGUAGCUCAUUGUUUCUAAUUAAUACUUUUUGACAAUUGAACUAGAUCAGAAAGGGGUGCAAAUCUCUGUAGGACUUAGUUAUGAAAGACUUGUUUCAGAAAAAUAAAGGAAGAUAUGACUUGGAACUUCCAAAACUUUGAUUUAUUGUUGCUUGUGCACUCUAUGUAUUAUGACAUAUUACUCGUAUUGGAUUAGAGUGACUUGCCAAACAAUCUUUCUUGUAAUAAAGUAACAAGAGAUUGGAGCCCAAUAUUCAAUGUGACAAUUGAAUUAGAUUAGUUGGGGAAUUAAUGUGUUGGAAUGUGGAUGUGUGAGGACUAAAAGUUUUUAUUUGGGGGUUGACAAUUUUUAGUGAACACCGAAACUUGUGAAGGAAGUCAGUGUCUUGAGAAAAAUAUGCGAAUUAUCCUGUGGUAGCACUUGAAUUUUCUGAUUGUUGUCUUGUGUUGUCCCUUAGAUUAAUAGGAAUUUUUGGUAUAAGUCGAGAUAAGCAGGAGAGACUAGCACUAGUGGCAUAUAAAAAAAAAGUAGUGUGAAGUGUGUCCCAUUGGCUGCAUCAAAUGAACAAUGUUCAAGAAUCAACACAAAAGCCUUUGUGUGAGCUUUUGGACCCAAGCACUUUCAUUUAAACAGUGCUACAUUUCUUUUGAUCGAGGGCAUCAAACUUAGUGUGUCCAUUCUAGAACUUGCUUGUGUAAUACAUUUUGAGUCCGCAUUCUUGUAAGUUUGGUGCAUGAAAGUGAUAAGGGCACUUAGGAAUACCCCAUUACCUCAAAAGAGCCUACCUUGAAUUCACCCAUAGAAUAACUCAUUUGAGCCUUGGCUUUUCUUUUGUUGGUUAAACCACGUCAUAAGCUGAAUCAUCCCCCCUUCUUGAUUAUCUCCUGAACUGAUUUUUGAACCCAUUUAAGGGGACGGUGUUGGCUUGGUUGCUUGUAAAUUGACAUGAAAAUGAGUGAAGAACAACGGAUGCACUGCUAUCCCCAAGGAAAACAAAAAGAGAAAUAGAACGAGGAAAUGAAAAACAAAUGAUGAAACAGAAAGAACAAAGAGAUGAAGAAAAAAGGAGAAGAGAAAGAAGAAGCAAA